GACGAACGCUGGCGGCGUGCUUAACACAUGCAAGUCGAACGGAAGGGCCCUGCUUUUGUGGGGUGCUCGAGUGGCGAACGGGUGAGUAACACGUGAGUAACCUGCCCUUGACUUUGGGAUAACUUCAGGAAACUGGGGCUAAUACCGGAUAGGAGCUCCUGCUGCAUGGUGGGGGUUGGAAAGUUUCGGCGGUUGGGGAUGGACUCGCGGCUUAUCAGCUUGUUGGUGGGGUAGUGGCCUACCAAGGCUUUGACGGGUAGCCGGCCUGAGAGGGUGACCGGCCACAUUGGGACUUAGAUGCGGCCCAGACUCCUACGGGAGGCAGCGGUGGGGAAUAUUGCACAAUGGGCUGAAGCCAUAUGCAGCAACGCCGCGUGCGGGAUGACGACCUUCGGGUUAUAAACCGCUUUCGCCUGUGACGAAGCGUAAGUGACGGUAAUGGGUAAAGAAGCACCGGCUAACUACGUG
rnacentral:rRNA from 1 species